rnacentral:rRNA from 1 species
UACGUAGGGUCCGAGCGUUGUCCGGAAUUACUGGGCGUAAAGCGCGCGCAGGCGGUCCGCGAGGUGUCACGUGAAAGCCCCGGGCUCAACUCGGGGAGGGUCGUGGCAAACCGGCGGACUUGAGGCCGGUAGAGGUGGGUGGAACUUCUGGUGGAGCGGUGAAAUGCGUUUGAUAUCAGAAGGAACUCCGGUGGCGAAGGCGACGUGCUGGACCUCUUCUGACGCUGAGGCGCGAAAGCUAGGGGAGCGAACGGG